CGGAAAUGGAAAAGCCGGUGCAAGCGAGGUAGGAGUACAGUAGGCAAAUCCGCUGUACAAUCCGAAGACGUGAUGCGGACCGAAUUAAGAGUAGGGAAGUGUGUGAGCCAUGCGUCAAGAAAAGCCGCUAUUGUUUUACUUAAGCCCGUACCGUAAACCGACACAGGUGGAUGAGGAGAGAAUCCUAAGGCCGACGGGAGAAGCAUUGUUAAGGAACUCGGCAAAAUGACUCCGUAACUUCGGGAGAAGGAGUGCCAGCGAGAGCUGGCCGCAGAGAAUUGGCCCAAGCAACUGUUUAGCAAAAACACAGGUCUAUGCAAAACCGUAAGGUGAAGUAUAUGGGCUGACGCCUGCCCGGUGCUGGAAGGUUAAGAGGAGAGGUUAGCGGUAACGCGAAGCUUUGAAUUUAAGCCCCAGUAAACGGCGGCCGUAACUAUAACGGUCCUAAGGUAGCGAAAUUCCUUGUCGGGUAAGUUCCGACCCGCACGAAAGGCGUAAUGAUUUGGGCACUGUCUCAACAAUGCACCCGGUGAAAUUGAAAUACCAGUGAAGAUGCUGGUUACCUGCGCCAGGACGGAAAGACCCCAUGGAGCUUUACUCCAGCUUGAUACUGGGAUUCGGUAUUGCAUGUACAGGAUAGGUGGGAGGCUAGGAAGUGAUAACGCCAGUUGUCACGGAGCCGCUGUUGGGAUACCACCCUUGCAGUAUUGGAUUUCUAACCAGCGACCAUGAACUGGUCGGGGGACAAUGUCAGGUGGGGAGUUUGACUGGGGCGGUCGCCUCCGAAAGGGUAUCGGAGGCGCUCAAAGGUUCCCUCAGAAUGGACGGAAACCAUUCGAAGAGUGCAAAGGCAGAAGGGAGCUUGACUGCGACACCGACGGGUGGAGCAGGUACGAAAGUAGGACUUAGUGAUCCGGUGGUAUAAAGUGGGAUUGCCAUCGCUCAACGGAUAAAAGCUACCCUGGGAUAACAGGCUUAUCACUCCCAAGAGUUCACAUCGACGGAGUGGUUUGGCACCUCGAUGUCGGCUCAUCGCAUCCUGGGGCUGAAGUAGGUCCCAAGGGUUGGGCUGUUCGCCCAUUAAAGCGGUACGCGAGCUGGGUUCAGAACGUCGUGAGACAGUUCGGUCCCUAUCCGGCGUGGGCGUAGGAUAUUUGAGAGGAGCUGUCCUUAGUACGAGAGGACCGGGAUGGACUGGCCGCUGGUGUAUCUGUUGCAUACCAAAUGCAUGGCAGAGUAGCCAAGCCGGGACGGGAUAAACGCUGAAGGCAUCUAAGCGUGAAGCCCCCCUCAAGAUGAGAUAUCCCUACGUAAGUAGUAAGACCCCUUGAAGACGACGAGGUAGAUAGGUCAGAGGUGGAAGUACAGUAAUGUAUGGAGCUGACUGACACUAAUCGGUCGAGGGCAUGACCG
rnacentral:rRNA from 1 species